UCUGGCUCAGGAUGAACGCUAGCUACAGGCUUAACACAUGCAAGUCGAGGGGCGAGCGGGAUCUAGCUUGCUAGAUUGCCGGCGACCGGCGCACGGGUGAGUAACGCGUAUCCAACCUUCCCUUAGUAGGGCAUAGCCCGUAGAAAUGCGGAUUAAUACCCUAUGUUUUUCCAAUGAGGACAUCUGAGCUGGAACAAAGGUUUACCGCUAAGGGAUGGGGAUGCGUCCGAUUAGGCAGCAGGCGGGGUAACGGCCCACCUGGCCGACGAUCGGUAGGGGUUCUGAGAGGAAGGUCCCCCACAUUGGAACUGAGACACGGUCCAAACUCCUACGGGAGGCAGCAGUGAGGAAUAUUGGUCAAUGGGCGCGAGCCUGAACCAGCCAAGUAGCGUGCAAGGAUGACGGCCCUAUGGGUUGUAAACUGCUUUUAUGCGGGGAUAAAGUGCGGCACGUGUGCCGUUUUGUAGGUACCGCAUGAAUAAGGACCGGCUAAUUCCGUGCCAGCCGCUGC
rnacentral:rRNA from 1 species